rnacentral:rRNA from 1 species
CACGUAGGGCGCAAGCGUUGUCCGGAAUUAUUGGGCGUAAAGAGCUCGUAGGCGGUCUGUUACGUCUGCUGUGAAAACCCUGGGCUUAACCCUGGGCUUGCAGUGGAUACGGGCAGACUAGAGGCAGGUAGGGGAGAAUGGAAUUCCCGGUGUAGCGGUGAAAUGCGCAGAUAUCAGGAAGAACACCCGUGGCGAAGGCGGCUCUCUGGGACGGUACUGACGCUGAGACGCGAAAGCGUGGGGAGCGAACAGG